GUGGGGUUGUGACUCAGUGGUAAAGUGCUUGCCUAGCAUGCAUGAGGCACUGGGUUCCAACCCCAGCACCACA
rnacentral:tRNA from 1 species